rnacentral:lncRNA from 1 species
AAGUGGUUGUAUGUUUGAUCGAGCCUAACAGGCACGCUUAAUCAGAACCGAGGAAUCAUCUCUAAGAUUGAUGCGGGCUAGAAGGAACCAUUUGGACCACUAGUAAUUUCCCGCAACUUUGGGGCCUCUCGAGCAUUAAACCCCAAGCAUUCAAUGGUUUUGUAAUGCUAUAUCAUGGAUGUCUAAUAAGUAUAUUGUUAGAAGCCCAAUCUCUGUUAAAUUUGAAUAAGGGGAGGAGGGGCUAUCUAUCUUUUUGUAAAAUUAUAAAAAGUGGUUGUAUGUUUGAUCGAGCCUAACAGACACGCUUAAUCAGAACCGAGGAAUCAUCUCUAAGAUUGAUGCGGGCUAGAAGGAACCAUUUGGACCACUAGUAAUUUCCCGCAACUUUGGGGCCUCUCGAGCAUUAAACCCCAAGCAUUCAAUGGUUUUGUAAUGCUAUAUCAUGGAUGUCUAAUAAGUAUAUUGUUAGAAGCCCAAUCUCUGUUAAAUUUGAAUAAGGGGAGGAGGGGCUAUCUAUCUUUUUGUAAAAUUAUAAAAAGUGGUUGUAUGUUUGAUCGAGCCUAACAGACACGCUUAAUCAGAACCGAGGAAUCAUCUCUAAGAUUGAUGCGGGCUAGAAGGAACCAUUUGGACCACUAGUAAUUUCCCGCAACUUUGGGGCCUCUCGAGCAUUAAACCCCAAGCAUUCAAUGGUUUUGUAAUGCUACCAGCUCUGUGUAGAGCUGUGGCGUGCACCAUUUUUCUGCCAAGAGUAGAGAAGCCCAACGGCAUCCGCAUUAUCAGACACAUUAUCGAACAUCCACACCACUUUAAUGCCCCACUUGGUUACAAGCCAACGUUACGUGGCUCGGCG